AAGGCCUGAAAAACUGAGGGGACCCCCUCCCUGCACCUUCUCUCAGGGGACACACGCCCUAGAGUUCAGCAGGGCUUGGCUGUGCGAGGGUGGUGUGCUGGUGGAGGGCUGAGCAGAAAAGACCUUGGGAAAUUCUUUUUAUGCUUGUCCUCAGGCACGGCUAAAGGGACAAGACCCCACCAGGUGGGUGAGGCGCCCACAUCCAACCCAGCGGUUGACCACACACCGCACUAGGCCUCACCUCUGGGGAAGGUCACACGGCUCAGGACCUUGGAGGCGAACCCUCUGCUGCCUCCUGGAACGGCUCCUCGGCCCUUGGGGGCUCAGCCUCCCCCUGGUUCAGAACAAUGACUGUUAACCAGGGCGGAUGGAUGGAAGGCUGGGCUCCUGGAGCAACAUUGGUGGGAAGAUUCUUCUGAAACAAACACUCAGGUUCUCAGAAGGUGGAACGAAAUUGGCCCUAGCUUCAUCAUGGCUGACUCCCACCCAUGGAGGACCCUGCGGCAGGAAAGGGAGGAAGGAGAUCCCAGUGCUGGGGGUUUAGCUUCUGCAGAUGCUGUCCUGAGGGCAGGCAAUCCCAGGGCAUUCAAGGUCACAGUGGAGGUCAUCCAGAGGCCUGACUUCAGGGGACAGGAUUACGAGCCUUUUUUUGAAAAUCUCUCAGCCCGCUUCCCUCUGUCCUCCAGCUCCCAAGGACUCAGGUCACAAAGAAACACAGAAGAGCAAGUCACCCGUGGGGUCGGUGCCCAACGCCCGCCGGGCCAGCCAGAGUGCAGCCCGCCAAGGUUGGAGCUCUCCGAGAAGGGCAGAGCAGGAGGUGACGGAGGGCCGGUCUCCAGGCUCAGGGGAGGGGCCACGGACAGGCUGGGGGCAGUGUGCUGAACAGUAGCCUGAGUCUGGUCCUGUACAAGUGACCUCUCUGAGCAUGGGGCCUGGUGCACAGGGGCCUGUGGGCCACGCCAGAGCUGGCUGAUGCUCGCCGGGCACCCGCAGACUACCGACCGCAUCAUCCAGAAGGACGGAGGAACUGGCUGCACUGGACCUGUGAGGGAGAGGUACCGGGGGCACCCACUGAGUGGAUGGGCUCUGCCCAAGCCCAGAUAGCCUGCCGGCCUUGGAAGGAGAACGGACUUUGUAAAGAGGGGACCCCCUGGGCCUGAAGGUGUAAAGUACAGCUUUUAGGAAAUACGCAGCUGCCUUGCUGCAGGCCAGCACACUGGCAACACCCAAACUCCAGCCAGGCAUCUUUCAGCCAAUCUGCCAGAGGUUUGGCCAGAGGAACCAACCAAACACAGACCCUCAGGCCCAUCAUAGCACCAGAGGGCAGACACGGGCUGGACACCGGCUCCAAGGACCGUAGUGACCAGGACUCAGUCCACAUGGCAUGUUUCCUAAGGGAGGGGUCUUGGCCUCUAGGGUCUUCUUCUGCACCUAGACUUGCCCAGUGCACGAGACCAGCUGAAGACCAGCCGAGCUUUUUAAAGUAAGUUUUCAUGUAAAUAAUUCAGAUAAGUGAGAAAAGUCCCCAUUCUCACCUCGAAAAUGAAGAUUACCCAGAUCUCCCUGGUGAGCGGGGUAAAGUCGACUUCUGUUUCAGCAGAGCUGAGGGUCAGGACUGGUGGGGGGCGGCUGGUGCAAGCAGGGCUGGUCACCCGAGUGCGUUUUGCUGGCCCUUCUGGCCAGAGGCGCUGACGGAGCCGCAGGGUCACAGGGCUGGAGGGGAGGCAGGCCCGCGUCCUUCUGACCCAGUGACAAAGAGCCACAGAAACCAAGACAGGCAGAACCGCGUGCGUUCCUCUUGCAGAUGCCUGUCUGCGCUCCUUCUCCAGAGUGUCUAAGUACCAGGCGUUGCCCGGGAAGUGCUGGCUUAUCUGCACCGCCACUGGGCUGGGCGUCUUGGUCUCUGGGCCAGUCCUCAAGUGCGUGGGCUCCCAGCUCCCAAACUCAAUCAUCAAAGGCAGACAUAGCUCUCUCCUGGGCCCUCAUGAGUCCUGCAUGCUUCCACCUUUUAAGAGGCUGCCAGGCUGUCCACGUCCACGCGAGGCUGGAUUGUACAUCCACUUACCAUAUUCACAGCCCUCUCUUCCUCAGGGGAAUUUACCACUCAUAUAGCUUUAAGAAAAAUAUACAAAAAUAUGGGAUUCCCUUGUAGCUCAGCUGGUAAAGAAUCCACCU